rnacentral:snoRNA from 1 species
ACGGCAUGAUGGGGACAAUUUCGAAUGAGGUCCUUUAAUCUUUCCCAUGACCCAUGGAACUGCUCACCAUCUUGUUGCGAAAAACUAGUGAGAGCUCGUCUUAUCUU